ensembl:lncRNA
GGGGGAGAGCGAGCAAACAAGAGAGAUCCAGGAGGCAGACAGAUGGAGGAGAAGAUGGUAGUGAUAGAGGAGGCGGUGUUGAAGAUGAAGGAGAUUAAGAGGAGGAAGGUGGUAACAAAAAGUUAAGGUUUGGGACACUGAAUCACUCACGGGCCAGGGAGGAGGAGAAGGAGGGGGAAAGAUCUGAAGAGCUUCCCCUUCCAAGCUGUUGCCUUCACAAAGCUUCCUGCCCAGGAGCGCUCAGCAGCUCCUGCGAUGCUGGGGGAGCCGCUGGGAUGGAGCGCUCUGCUGGGUCAUAGCUUUCUUCCAGCCAUGGCAAAAACCGGUUUCUGCAUGCAGAUCUGCCCCUGAGGUGAUCCCUCAGACACAUCCAUCUAGAGACUAAUCUUCCCUGAGCAGGGUAAAGAACAUAAAUGGAGCUGGAGGUUGCAAAGUAUAAAACCAGAUCUACCACGUGGUUGGUUUUUAAUCCCCCUUCCAGCUCGCAUUUGAUGUGGAGAAAGGAGACUCGAAUUGUCCAUUUCUGGCACGUAUUUUGAAGUCUACUCCCGGAAAUAAAGACAGUCAUCUCCAGGUUUUUUAUUUCUCACAAGCAUUUAGGAGAAAAGAGAGCUUGUACUACCGAGCACCAAAAUCACUUCCUACAUUGGUGAGACGUUUCUGGCUGCAAAAUAAAAUAAAUAAUCCCACUUAAAAUAACUUUUGUGCCUUCCAACACCUAGUUGUCUGCUCUUUUGUGACAGAUUAUUUAAAGCCGAGGAAAGAAACGAUCAAGGCUCACAAAGGAAGGUAUCUUGAUGAUGAAGGCAAGCCAGCAAAGACAAAGCUGCUGUAGUCUGCAUUUAUAUUUAGCCUCGUUCUAUUAAGCGUUGCGCUUAGCUCCUUCUUUUGCGCGACCCCCCUCCCCCCCAGCCCUCCAAGCUCCACCACACCAGGUCAGAUUCUUUCUAGGGUUAUGCCUAGCACGGAGGGGGGUGGAGGGGUGGGGGGAUUAGGAGUUAUGUGCAGACUCAGAAAAUCAAUGCACGGGAGUGAGGCAGAAUCAAUUUGAGCGCAAGGGCAUGGCUGGUAUUGGAACAUCACUGGGAUUUCUCGAGCCCUCAAGCACUGCAAUUUGCAUGGGUGGAAGAGAGACUAGAACCACAGAGCUCCGGUUCAGAUGGAGGGGGAGAUCCCUCCCCUGCUCCGAGGAAGUUUUAUGAGAGUGGUGAAGCCGAGAUGAUCUUCUUAAAGGAGUCCAGAUUUUACUGGCUCUGGGAGAGGUCAGGCAUGUUAGAACUUCAUUGUCUGAACUCUCCCAGCUCAGCUGAAGACCAAAUGCAGAAAAGCUAACGAUAGCAAUAAAAUAAAAUAACAAAAAUCGGUCGCCCAGGUACUAGUCAAACAUUAAACUCAUGCUCUCUCCGAUCUUUCCAUCCACAAGGCUGCCGUGAGCACAAAGCACACAAGCAGGAUCUCUCCCAUUAAACCUUCUCUUUCUUUGAGCCGUGCAAGUUAAUCACUAAACACGAGAAAGAUCUUCUCCCUCCUCCUCUCUUUCCGCUCCCCCCGCUCCCCCCUCGCCCCAAACAAGUGCUGUGAGAAAUGGGAGGAAGGAUAAUAUCUGGGCAGAAGGAGCACUGCUGGAUUUAGAGAAUCCUUCUUAAGGAAAAGGGGAAAAAACAUCAGAACUGGAGAUUCCUAGUAAGACUACUGGUUUCAUGCAGACAAAUGAAGCGGACACCUCCUAAGAAGCUGAUAAAAGAACAUUAAGGAAAAGGGAGGGACUGUCUUUACGGCUGCCAGAAUGUGCAUGUGUUCUGCCUGCAAUUUUCUAUAAAUCAUCGUCUUCGCAGGAAGAAAGCGCCUGGGCUUUGCAAUCUUUGACGUACCAUCAACGCCGAGGCAGAUAAUUUACCUCUUUGUCUCCCUGCAUUACGUUUUAAAUUAAAAAAAAAAAAAA